rnacentral:rRNA from 1 species
AUGAACGCUAGCUACAGGCUUAACACAUGCAAGUCGAGGGGCAGCAUUUUAGUUUGCUUGCAAACUGAAGAUGGCGACCGGCGCACGGGUGAGUAACACGUAUCCAACCUGCCGAUAACUCCGGAAUAGCCUUUCGAAAGAAAGAUUAAUACCGGAUAGCAUACGAAUAUCGCAUGAUAUUUUUAUUAAAGAAUUUCGGUUAUCGAUGGGGAUGCGUUCCAUUAGUUUGUUGGCGGGGUAACGGCCCACCAAGACUACGAUGGAUAGGGGUUCUGAGAGGAAGGUCCCCCACAUUGGAACUGAGACACGGUCCAAACUCCUACGGGAGGCAGCAGUGAGGAAUAUUGGUCAAUGGGCGAGAGCCUGAACCAGCCAAGUAGCGUGAAGGAUGAAGGCUCUAUGGGUCGUAAACUUCUUUUAUAUGGGAAUAAAGUUUUCCACGUGUGGAAUUUUGUAUGUACCAUAUGAAUAAGGAUCGGCUAACUCCGUGCCAGCAGCCGCGGUAAUACGGAGGAUCCGAGCGUUAUCCGGAUUUAUUGGGUUUAAAGGGAGCGUAGGUGGAUUGUUAAGUCAGUUGUGAAAGUUUGCGGCUCAACCGUAAAAUUGCAGUUGAAACUGGCAGUCUUGAGUACAGUAGAGGUGGGCGGAAUUCGUGGUGUAGCGGUGAAAUGCUUAGAUAUCACGAAGAACUCCGAUUGCGAAGGCAGCUCACUAGACUGUCACUGACACUGAUGCUCGAAAGUGUGGGUAUCGAACAGGAUUAGAUACCCUGGUAGUCCACACAGUAAACGAUGAAUACUCGCUGUUUGCGAUAUACAGUAAGCGGCCAAGCGAAAGCAUUAAGUAUUCCACCUGGGGAGUACGCCGGCAACGGUGAAACUCAAAGGAAUUGACGGGGGCCCGCACAAGCGGAGGAACAUGUGGUUUAAUUCGAUGAUACGCGAGGAACCUUACCCGGGCUUAAAUUGCAACAGAAUAUAUUGGAAACAGUAUAGCCGUAAGGCUGUUGUGAAGGUGCUGCAUGGUUGUCGUCAGCUCGUGCCGUGAGGUGUCGGCUUAAGUGCCAUAACGAGCGCAACCCUUAUCUUUAGUUACUAACAGGUCAUGCUGAGGACUCUAGAGAGACUGCCGUCGUAAGAUGUGAGGAAGGUGGGGAUGACGUCAAAUCAGCACGGCCCUUACGUCCGGGGCUACACACGUGUUACAAUGGGGGGUACAGAAGGCGGCUACCUGGUGACAGGAUGCUAAUCCCAAAAACCUCUCUCAGUUCGGAUCGAAGUCUGCAACCCGACUUCGUGAAGCUGGAUUCGCUAGUAAUCGCGCAUCAGCCAUGGCGCGGUGAAUACGUUCCCGGGCCUUGUACACACCGCCCGUCAAGCCAUGAAAGCCGGGGGUACCUGAAGUACGUAACCGCAAGGAGCGUCCUAGGGUAAAACUGGUAAUUGGGGCU